GCAAUAAAAGCCAAAAUAGAGGCGCCGGUCUUGUAAACCGGAGAUUGAGAGUUUUCUCUUAUUGUU
rnacentral:tRNA from 1 species